rnacentral:rRNA from 1 species
GACAGAGGAUGCAAGCGUUAUCCGGAAUGAUUGGGCGUAAAGCGUCUGUAGGUGGCUUCUUAAGUCCGCUGUCAAAUCCCAGGGCUUAACCCUGGCCAGGCGGUGGAGACUACUAAGCUUGAGUACGGUAGGGGCAGAGGGAAUUUCCGGUGGAGCGGUGAAAUGCGUAGAGAUCGGAAAGAACACCAAGGGCGAAGGCACUCUGCUGGGCCGACACUGACACUGAGAGACGAGAGCUAGGGGGAGCAAAUGGG